rnacentral:lncRNA from 1 species
AAGUAAAUUGUCCGGUAGAAAAGUUCCAAUUUAGGUCAUCAAAGUAAGAUAUUUUGGUUUUAAUAAGAUGCAUCGCAAACCAUAGCAAAGCAAGGUAUAUAUAUAUAUAUAUAUUUGUUUUUAGUGAACGUCACGUUUAAUUAUGUGAUGUCCCUCUAUUUUGUUCUCGAACAUGUUGUUUUCUGGAAUAGAGUAAUGUAAAUAAAGUACUCGACACAAUAGCCUAGCCUGUUGAAACAUCGCAUAAUAUAAGAUAUAAUAUUAGCAGACUUUUAUGCAGAUAGUAGUAGUUCUUCAGAUAUCCAGAAAAUUAUUGUUUUCAGGAAAUAAGAACAUAAUAAAUAACAUUCAGAGAACAUUGCUAUAACAUCUUUCAAAAUAAUUUGUAAGACCUCAUAGUACAGUUUUUGGAUGUGAAUAAAUGUAUUAAUAAGAAACAUCACCGCCACUGAAAAAAGAUACUCGCCAUUCUAGAAUUCUUUAGACGAUCUGUGAACUCCGAUCGGUAUAAAAAGUACCCAAUUGUUUAUAGUACUUUGAUUGACAUUUUGACUUGGCCAUGAGUUACUUGAUCGUUGUAUCCACUGUAUUGCAUACGAUAUCCACAUUUUACAACGUAAAGAGCAAGCGAAAUCAAAAAUUAUUUUGUCAGUUAUACACGGUCUAUGAAUUGUCAUGCGCAUAUCAUUUCCAACCAGGAAUAAAUAUAUUGUUUAUAUAAUGCACUCGAAAAAUAGUGUUCACCAUUAU